rnacentral:rRNA from 1 species
UGGGGAAUAUUGCACAAUGGGCGCAAGCCUGAUGCAGCCAUGCCGCGUGUAUGAAGAAGGCCUUCGGGUUGUAAAGUACUUUCAGUCGGGAGGAAGGUGGUAAGGUUAAUAACCUUAUCAAUUGACGUUACCGACAGAAGAAGCACCGGCUAACUCCGUGCCAGCAGCCGCGGUAAUACGGAGGGUGCAAGCGUUAAUCGGAAUUACUGGGCGUAAAGCGCACGCAGGCGGUUGAUUGAGUCAGAUGUGAAAUCCCCGGGCUUAACCCGGGGAUUGCAUCUGAUACUGGUCAGCUAGAGUCUUGUAGAGGGGGGUAGAAUUCCAUGUGUAGCGGUGAAAUGCGUAGGGAUGUGGAGGAAUACCGGUGGCGAAGGCGGCCCCCUGGACAAAGACUGACGCUCAGGUGCGAAGGCGUGGGGAGCAAACAGG